AGUGACAGACAUGGAACUAGAAUUCUUUCUUAACUCUCUCUUCUUUGCACUUUGCUCUCCAAUUCCUUCCUCCUCUUAUUCAUUUAACAAAUAGUAUGGAGCCCCUGGAGUAGGAAAUGGCAACCCACUCCAGAAUUUCUGCCUGAAAAAUUCCAUGGAUGCAGGAAACCAGUGGGCUACAGUCCAUGGGGUCACAAAGAGUGGCAUGACUAAGAAAACACACACACACUCACAUGGAGCCCCUACCACAUGCCAAUCACUGCUCCAUGUGCUGGGCCUGCAGUAAGUGAGUGAGAAAGACGUGCUUCCUGCCUGCCGGACUUUCUAAUGGAGGGGAGGAGGCAGAGAAUAAAAGCAUCAGCAAAUCAAUCAGUUGGAUGAUUGGAGCGAGCUGUGUGUCCUAAAGAAAGCAGAAGGGUCAGAGUAGCUUGGCCCCGUUCCGGGGGUUGGCCAGGGAAGGCCACCCUGAACAGAUGACCCGGGAGGGGACCCAGAGUGAGAAGAAGCCAGCCACAAGGUCAGAGAGGAACGUUCCAGGCAGAAGGAAGAGCAACAGCCAGGCUGUACUUCCUCCCAGACUCAACUCCUUGCUCCACUCUGAACAAGAGAACCACACACUGGAAGAGUUUCACAUUCCUGUGGGGAGGGCAGGACCAGAAGAAAUAGGUCCAUUCUACUGAAGAGGAAGAAGAGGGAGCUGAGGAGUGAUGGUAACCACUGUGAUUUCUCCAGCACUUACUUUAUGCCCAGCCCUGCAUUAUCUUGUUCAUCUCUCAUCGGCACUGUGAAGAAAGGACUAUUAGCACCAACGUUUUCCAGACAGGUCAGAUCUGAAGCGCAUUCCUUUUGACGCCAUGCCACCGUGAGCUUCCAAAACAAGAUCGGCUCUCAGGCAAGCCUCUGAAUGGGUCACAAAAUUCAAAGCAGAACCGAAUGAAGCCAAGUUGCCAGGCAUGAUAUAGAAAGCUCUGUUGUGCAUCUAUAGAGAGACUUAACACACCCUGUUCUAGUGUAGUAAUUUAACCAGUGUGGCUGAAAAACUUAGCUCUCAUCUUUUGAAUAAACCUUUAUAGAAACACUGCAAGUUAGAAUCGUGUUUGUGUCAGAUCAUAACUUAUCAUUUCUGGAAUGAAAUUCUCAAAUAUAUGUCCUUUGGAGUUCUUCCAAGAAGCUUCCUACAGAGUUCCAGAUGAAGAGAAUAACCUAAAAGAUAAUAUCAAGAUUGUCCUCCAGAAGACCAGAUUCCCCUCCCAGGGACACUGACACAGAUUUCAUGAAAGUUUUCAUAGAAUUUUCUUCAGAUCUGCCAUGUUUGGCAUUUGUUUCCAUGCCCUUAAUAUCUACUGAAUUCCUAAUAUUAUUGUUAUCUGCAUUUUUAUUAUUCAGUUUUCAUUUGUCACCAUAUCAAGUGAAAGUAGCUAGAUGGAUGGUCACCAAAUUCAGUGGGAAUGUUGGUGAGCAUCUUGUAUAGAAUAUAUAGGCUGUGUAAGAAACAAAAUUUAUUUUGCAGGGCUCAGGUGGGGGGCAUCACAAAGAGUAGGGAGGUCACUUAGACCCUGGAGGGAUGGCUGUUCAAGAGAAACAAGCCAGGACUUCCCUGGUGGUCCAGUGAUUAAGAAUCUGCCUGCCAGUGCAGGGGACACAGGUUCAAUCCCUGGUCCAGGAAGACCUCACAUGCUGCAAGACAACUAAGCCUGUGUGCCGCAACUGCUGAGCCCUCACUUCGGAGCCCACGCAUUGUAACUACUGAAGCCAGCAUGCUGUAGAGCCCACGCUCCACAAGACAAGCCACUGCAGUGAGAAGUCCACACACUGCCACUAGAGAACGCCUAUGCACAGCAAGGAAGGCCCAGUGCAGCCAAAAAAAGAGAGACAAGCCAUAGUCCUGAGAAAGCUAUAGGAAGAGAAACACACAGAGGGAUUUGAAUCUGACUCCCAUAUUGCAAGUCACAAGGGCAGACACUCUGAAUCACAGCAUUGAUUUGUGAUGGAGCUGGUUCCCACACGGGCCACUCCAUGGAGCAUGAUCCAGGGAUGUGUUUCUUAAUAACUCUAAUGACAUUGGCAACAACACCAGGGCCACACCUCCAGCAGGCCUGUCUUGGAGUGUUAUUCCCGAGCUAUAGUGAUUGGGGAGCAUUUCUGCUUAGUGUUGCACAGCGGUUCUCAAGCUUUCUUUCGUCUCUGUACCUUUACCCUCUCAGUUUAUUAGAAAUUCGAACUGAGAAGAAUAUUCUAAAACUUUAUGGGGUAACUUAGCUGGUAAAGAAUCCACCUGUAAUGCAGGAGACCUGGGUUCAAUCCCUGGGUUGGGAAGAUCCCCUGGAGAAGGGAAAGGC
ensembl:lncRNA